GCCAAGACUUUAUUUGCUGAAGAAUAGCUAAGAAGUCUGAUUUGGUUUUUCUGUUUUCAUUUUGGGCCCUGGUGCUUGAUUUUGCUUUGUGAGCCUCUCUAGGGACAGGUGCAUCCCAUCUGCUGACAUCGUGUUGGCUCUGAGAUUAAAUGAAAGUUCUCCAGGCUGGAAGAGAGAAGAGUCAGGGGAGCCAGAUAGCUUAGAAACUGGAAGGUGCUAAGAAGAGGUCUGAGCUAUGGAAUGCAGCCGGAGCUUAGUCACACAGCCACACGCAGCUGUCACGGAGGCCAGGAAAGGUCGUCUCCACAGGCGUCUGACACCUGGAGAGUGGGAGAGAGUGGGUGUCGGAGGACGACUGACAGCCUUGUCCAUGUCAGGCUGGGUAAAAAGGGAUACAGAAUGGACACAGCUUUUUUGCCCUCAACGGUUGGCCGGUAACGGUUCCUGUGUAGGUUAAAGACUAGUUCUUCUGGCCAGGCAUUUAAGACCCGCCACACUCUGGCCCUCUCCUCUUUCCCCAAAAACUUUCCCUCUCCGCUCCCCCCAACAUGUUCCUGCCAAUGGAGC
rnacentral:lncRNA from 1 species